rnacentral:rRNA from 1 species
GACGAACGCUGGCGGCGUGCUUAACACAUGCAAGUCGAACGGAAAGGCCCUGCUUGCAGGGUGCUCGAGUGGCGAACGGGUGAGUAACACGUGGGUGAUCUGCCCCUUACUUUGGGAUAAGCCUGGGAAACUGGGUCUAAUACUGGAUAUGACCAUGCUGUAGGUGGUGUGGUGGAAGGAUUAGUUUCGGUAAGGGAUGAGCGCUCGGCCUAUCAGCUUGUUGGUGGGGUAAUGGCCUACCAAGGCGUCGUCGGGUAGCCGGCCUGAGAGGGUGGACGGCGACAUUGGGACUGCGAUACGGCCCAGACGCCUACGGGGGGCAGCAGUGGGGAAGAUUGUACAAUGAGGGCAAGACUGAUGCAGCGACGACGCGUGGGGGAUGAUGGCCUUCGGGUUGUAAACUCCUUUCAGCCAUGACGAAGCCCUUGUGGUGACGGUAGUGGUAGAAGAAGCACCGGCUAACUACGUG